UACGUAGGUGGCAAGCGUUAUCCGGAUUUAUUGGGCGUAAAGCGAGCGCAGGCGGUUGCUUAGGUCUGAUGUGAAAGCCUUCGGCUUAACCGGAGUAGUGCAUUGGAAACUGUUGAACUUGAGUGCAGAAGAGGAGAGUGGAACUCCAUGUGUAGCGGUGGAAUGCGUAGAUAUAUGGAAGAACACCAGUGGCGAAGGCGGCUCUCUGGUCUGCAACUGACGCUGAGGCUCGAAAGCGUGGGGAGCAAACAGG
rnacentral:rRNA from 1 species